rnacentral:rRNA from 1 species
UAGGGAAUCUUCCACAAUGAGCGAAAGCCCGAUGGAGCAACGCCGCGUGUGUGAUGAAGGGUUUCGGCUCGUAAAACACUGUUGUAAGAGAAGAAUGACAUUGAGAGUAACUGUUCAAUGUGUGACGGUAUCUUACCAGAAAGGAACGGCUAAAUACGUGCCAG